GAUGAAGAACGCAGCGAAAUGCGAUAAGUAAUGUGAAUUGCAGAAUUCAGUGAAUCAUCGAAUCUUUGAACACACAUUGCGCCCGCCAGUAUUCUGGCGGGCAUGCCUGUUCGAGCGUCAUUUCAACCAUCAAGCCCCCCGGCUUGUGUUGGGGACCUGCGGCUGCCGCAGGCCCUGAAAAGCAGUGGCGGGCUCGCUGUCACACCGAGCGUAGUAGCAUACAUCUCGCUCUGGGCGUGCUGCGGGUUCCGGCCGUUAAACCACCUUCAUAACCCAAGGUUGACCUCGGAUCAGGUAGGAAGACCCGCUGAACUUAAGCAUAUCAAUAAGCGGAGGA
rnacentral:misc_RNA from 1 species